rnacentral:rRNA from 1 species
UACGUAGGGACCAAGCGUUAUUCGGAAUUACUGGGCGUAAAGGGCGCGUAGGCGGCGCUCCAAGUUAGGCGUGAAAGUCCUGGGCUCAACCUGGGAACUGCGCUUAAGACUGGAGUGCUUGAGGAUGGAAGAGGGUCGUGGAAUUCCCAGUGUAGAGGUGAAAUUCGUAGAUAUUGGGAAGAACACCGGUGGCGAAGGCGGCGACCUGGUCCAUUACUGACGCUGAGGCGCGAUAGCGUGGGG